AUUGAACGCUGGCGGCAGGCCUAACACAUGCAAGUCGAGCGAGCGGCGGACGGGUGAGUAAUGUAUGGGGACUGCCCGUUAGCGGGGGAUAACUACUGGAAACGGUAGCUAAUACCGCAUACUAUCGGAUAACCUAUAUGGGAUUAGCUAGUAGGUGAGGUAAUGGCUCAUCUAGGCGACUAUCCUUAGCCGGUCUGAGAGGAUGAUCAGCCACACUGGGACUGAGCCACGGCCCAGACGCCUACGGAGGCAGCAGGGGGGAAUAUUGCACAAUGGGCGCAAGCCUGAUGCAGCCAUGCCGCGUGUAUGAAGAAGGCCCUAGGGUUGUAAAGUACUUUCAGUCGGGAGGCGUUACCGGCAGAAGAAGCACCGGCUAACUCCGUGCCAGCCGCCGCGGUAAUAC
rnacentral:rRNA from 1 species